rnacentral:rRNA from 1 species
UACAGAGGUGGCAAGCGUUAUUCGGAAUUACUGGGUUUAAAGGGUGCGUAGGCGGCCAUGUAAGUCAGGAGUGAAAGUUUGCGGCUCAACCGUAAAAUUGCUUUUGAUACUGCAUGGCUGGAAUCAGGAUGAGGUCAGCGGAAUGUGGCAUGUAGCGGUGAAAUGCAUAGAUAUGCCAUAGAACACCAAUUGCGAAGGCAGCUGGCUAGACCUGUAUUGACGCUGAGGCACGAAAGCGUGGGGAGCGAACAGG